rfam:Homo sapiens chromosome 1, GRCh38 reference primary assembly.
GUCUCUGUGGCGCAAUCGGCUAGCGCUUUUGGCUGUUAACUAAAAGGUUGGUGGUUUGAACCCACCCAGAGGCG